rnacentral:rRNA from 1 species
CCUACGGGUGGCAGCAGUGGGGAAUAUUGGACAAUGGGGGCAACCCUGAUCCAGCCAUGCCGCGUGUGUGAAGAAGGCCCUCGGGUUGUAAAGCACUUUCAGUGAGGAAGAACGCCUGGUGGUUAAUACCCAUCAGGAAAGACAUCACUCACAGAAGAAGCACCGGCUAACUCCGUGCCAGCAGCCGCGGUAAUACGGAGGGUGCGAGCGUUAAUCGGAAUUACUGGGCGUAAAGCGCGCGUAGGUGGCUUGAUAAGCCGGUUGUGAAAGCCCCGGGCUCAACCUGGGAACGGCAUCCGGAACUGUCAAGCUAGAGUGCAGGAGAGGAAGGUAGAAUUCCCGGUGUAGCGGUGAAAUGCGUAGAGAUCGGGAGGAAUACCAGUGGCGAAGGCGGCCUUCUGGACUGACACUGACACCGAGGUGCGAAAGCGUGGGUAGCAAACAGGAUUAGAUACCCCUGUAGUC